rnacentral:rRNA from 1 species
UCUCUGCAGGAAAAGGUGGCNUCUAUUUAUAAGCUACCGUAUCAGGAUGGGUCCGCGUACCAUUAGCUAGUUGGUGGGGUAAUGGCCCACCAAGGCGACGAUGGUUAGCUGGUCUGAGAGGAUGAUCAGCCACACUGGAACUGAGACACGGUCCAGACUCCUACGGGAGGCAGCAGUGGGGAAUUUUGCGCAAUGGGGGAAACCCUGACGCAGCAACGCCGCGUGAGUGAUGAAGGCUUUCGGGUCGUAAAGCUCUGUCAGUAGGGAAGAAAUGAGCUUGGUUAAUACCCAAGUUUCUUGACGGUACCUACAAAGGAAGCACCGGCUAACUCCGGU